rnacentral:rRNA from 1 species
GACGAACGCUGGCGGCGUGCUUAACACAUGCAAGUCGAACGGAAAGGCCCUGCUUUUGUGGGGUGCUCGAGUGGCGAACGGGUGAGUAACACGUGAGUAACCUGCCCUUGACUUUGGGAUAACUUCAGGAAACUGGGGCUAAUACCGGAUAGGAGCUCCUGCUGCAUGGUGGGGGUUGGACAGUUUCGGCGGUUGGGGAUGGACUCGCGGCUUAUCAGCUUGUUGGUGGGGUAGUGGCUUACCAAGGCUUUGACGGGUAGCCGGCCUGAGAGGGUGACCGGCCACAUUGGGACUGAGAUACGGCCCAGACUCCUACGGGAGGCAGCAGUGGGGAAUAUUGCACAAUGGGCGGAAGCCGGAUGCAGCAACGCCGCGUGCGGGAUGACGGCCUUCGGGUUGUAAACCGCUUUCGCCUGUGACGAAGCGUGAGUGACGGUAAUGGGUAAAGAAGCACCGGCUAACUACGUG